rnacentral:lncRNA from 1 species
CCGAGAUGCUGAUCCGCCAUGUGCGGGGCGCUGUUGGCGUUUUUUCCUCAGCAAAGGGCGGAGGGAGUGGACGUGGGGGAAGGGCAGGUGGGCAUUUCUGGAGCAAUACUGCCAUCAAGAGGAACUGGCUUGGCAAUCCCGGCACCCUUGUGUGUCGCCUGGGGAGAGUGGCUUGGGACUGUCUGGGGGACCAGGCAGGACUAGGGCAGGUGCUCGGACGGAUCCGAGGUCUCUGGAGGUCCGAGAGAAGCAGGCUCCGCCGCGGGGUCGGGCGGUGGAAGCCCCAGAGAGAGGCGCCAGGACUAGCUGGACAGCCAGGACGCCGGGCCGUUCCCGGACAGGAAGCCAUGGCUCGGGAGCCUGGUGGCGGCCAUGAUCUGGGCGGGACCAGCGGAGGCCUCCGCCAGGGAGCCUGGGCUCGGGGCCUUGGGCAGUUUGCCUGGUGCCCCUUCCCGUGGGAGCAACCGGGGUGACGGCCUAGCUGGGUCCUCGGCCCGGGAGGCUCCGUCGGCCACACUGCACGCCUGCGGUGUGAGGAGGGCCGACUGCCAGUGCUGAGUUCCGUGGCCAUUGGGCCGGUGCCCGCCGCUGCUGGCCGCGCGCCGGGGCGUUCCUCCUUGCGUCCUAGGGAGGAAGGUGGGCCGCGGGGCAUCCCGCGGGGCCCGUACCCAGACGGUUCUUGACGAGGUGGACGCAAGGCCAGGCCCGGCCCGGCCCGGCCACCCUCAGACGCCGCGCACCCGCCUUGUUGAGACUUGCCACCCUGUCUUGUUGUGUCCAUGUCCCCGAGGUUGUCUUGGAGGCGGGCCGUUCCCCGUGGUGCUCAUUUCUGCCUGGGGGCCUUCCGGGGACCCCGCUUGUCUUUGGGGGUGCGCAGGCCCUUGCCCUGCGAUCAGAGGCGCACCGACCGAUGAGUUCGGUGGCAAAGCUUGAGAAAUGGAGACUCUCUGGGCAUCGGCUAAGGGGGCCCGGGGCCUUCCCAGGCCUGCUGGAGUCCGGGAAGCCGGGGGCACCCAGAAGGAAGGACCCGUCGGACUCUGCCUGGGGACAGCCUGCUCCGCGCCAGAAGGGUCCGCUGCUCAGGCAGCAUCCCCGUGCCUCUCCUCCAGUGGGUCCCUCAGGUAGAAUCGGGGCAGGCCCCACUGGACGUGCAGGGAGGAGGCUCGGAGGAUGCAUCCUUUGCAGGACCCGGUCUGGUACAGCAGCAGACGGAGCCAUCUCCCGGGGCUUUCUGGCUUCUCCGAGGGUGUUCAGGAGUCUCCCAAGUGCGCAGGGGCUCGUGCCCAAAGGGUGGAGGUCGGCACCGCUUCGCUCAAUUCAGGAGUGGAGAAGGAAGCUAGAGGACCCUCUGGAGGUGGCAGGUUUAAUGUCCUGCUUUUUUAUUUAUUUAUUUAUUUAUUUAUUUAUUUAUUUAUUUAUUUUGUAAUCAACUGAAAGAAGGCAGAAGGAGUCGAUGGGCCUCUUAGGCCGGAAACCUUACAAGCAUAGGACCAAGGCAGAAAAGGUCCAGAGGGUUCAUGGUCCUCCGUUCCACCUGAAUCCAGCUAGAGAGCGAGCCAGGGGGAUAGGUGUGCCCCUCGUCGCCCGUGCGCUGAGGCACUGUCACGCAAAGAGACAUUCACCUUCCACGUCAACGCACCUUUAAGGGCGAGAGCGGUCCGCCGUGCCCAAGAGGAACGGGAUGACAUUCAACUGGGACUUGCCUCACCUUGGCUUGGGGGACCUCGAGAGCGGUCCCGUGGGGGCGGUGUUACUCGUGGUGGUAGAAGUGGAGGGCGUGUCCGGGUACUUGAGUUCAUGGGCAUCUCUCCCGCCGCCUCUCAGCCUAUCUGCACCAUGUCUCACACGUUCAGUUGCAGCUCUUACCGUUUUGAAGGCGCACGUGGGCAAGAAGUCCUGGGCAGCACAAGAAAGUCAAUCACGUUGAGACAGAGAGAGCAGGAGAGGAAGUGGGCCCCAGUAGAAGUGGGCGAGAGAGCGUUGGGUGGGAACGUGGCACGAGAGAGAGAAAUUAUGAGAUUGAGAGAGAGAGAGAGAGAGAGAGAGAGAGAGAGAAAGAGAAAGAGAGAGAGAAAGAGAAAGAGACAGAGAAAAGAAACUAUGUUGUUUAAAAUGCCAGCGGAAAGUCCAUGGGGGUGAAAGAGUCCGGCAAUGGCCAGGGAGUUAGCAGCUUGGCGUAGUGUCUUCCCACUGUUUUGUCUGUCUUGAGAAUAGCAUUCAACGCGACUGUGUUCCCGCAGCAGACGUUAGGCCGCUGCCCACGCCUUGAGUGCCGGACGAGGUCAACAUAGGCUUUCCGUCACAGAAUAUGUUUGGGCAGGAAGAUCGGAACACUUGGGGCUGGGCCAUCUACCGCUCCCCCACGGCACACACGAGUCGUCAGGGAAAUGCCCGCCUCUGUGUGUGUUGUACGUGCAGCCUUCUG